UCUUCAGGAUGGUAGCAUGGUAUGUGGGCGUGUCUGAGGACAGCAGCAGCAGUGAACAGCAGUCAUGGAGAUGGAAGGUACUGCUGAGCCAGCCUUUGUGGAUGUGGACCAGGGCCUGACUUUAGCCUGUGUCGCCUUCCUCUGCUUACUGCUGAUGGCCAUGAUCAUCCGCUGUGCCAAGGUCAUAAUGGACCCAUAUAGUGCGAUUCCUACCUCCACAUGGGAGGAACAGCACUUGGAUGACUAACAAACUGAAACACAUAUAUACAUAUACAAGGGGUAG